GGGGUUGUGGCUCAGUGGUAGAGUGCUUGCCUCUAAUGUAUGAGGCCCUGGGUUCAAUUCUCAGCACCA
rnacentral:tRNA from 1 species